rnacentral:rRNA from 1 species
UGGGGAAUUUUGCGCAAUGGGCGAAAGCCUGACGCAGCAACGCCGCGUGCGGGAUGACGGCCUUCGGGUUGUAACCGCAUUUCAGUGGGAAAGAUAAUGACGGUACCCACAGAAGAAGCUCCGGCUAACUACGUGCCAGCAGCCGCGGUAAUACGUAGGGAGCAAGCGUUAUCCGGAUUUAUUGGGCGUAAAGCGCGCGUAGGCGGCUUGUUAAGCAAGAUCUUAAGCCUGGGGGCUCAACCUUCAGUUGGAUUUUGAACUGGCAGGCUCGAGUUUGGUAGAGGAAAGUGGAAUUCCCAGUGUAGCGGUGAAACUGCGCAGAUAUUGGGAAGAACACCGAUGGCGAAGGCAGCUUACUGGACGGUAACUGACGUUGAGGCUCGAAAGCGUGGGGAGCAAACAGGAUUAGAUACCC